CCUACGGGUGGCAGCAGUGAGGAAUAUUGGUCAAUGGGCGCAAGCCUGAACCAGCCAAGUAGCGUGCAGGAUGAAUGCCCUACGGGUUGUAAACUUCUUUUGUAAAGGGAUAAAAUCAGGCACGUGUGCCUUUCUGUAUGUACUUUAUGAAUAAGGAUCGGCUAACUCCGUGCCAGCAGCCGCGGUAAUACGGAGGAUCCGAGCGUUAUCCGGAUUUAUUGGGUUUAAGGGGAGCGUAGGCGGGCUGUUAAGUCAGCGGUAAAAUGUGGCGGCUCAACCUAGACUUGCAGUUGAAACUGGCAGCCUUGAGUUGACGAGAGGUAGGCGGAAUUCGUGGUGUAGCGGUGAAAUGCAUAGAUAUCACGAAGAACGCCGAUUGCGAAGGCAGCUUACCGGGGUGCCACUGACGCUGAGGCUCGAAAGUGUGGGUAUCAAACAGGAUUAGAUACCCGAGUAGUC
rnacentral:rRNA from 1 species